CUGCAGCCAAUUAAGCCAACUGGGUUCCUUUCCUCAUGGGGGCCCAGUGUGCAAUGGCUGCAAACACAGCAGCUUCCUUGGUAGUGUAUGCAUCCUGUUUCUUGUAUGGGUUGCUCUAAGGGACCUUGGAGACAGGC